UGUCCUCUCUUUCNGUAUCUCCAGGGCCUG
rnacentral:piRNA from 1 species